rnacentral:rRNA from 1 species
UGGGGAAUAUUGCACAAUGGGCGCAAGCCUGAUGCAGCCAUGCCGCGUGUAUGAAGAAGGCCUUCGGGUUGUAAAGUACUUUCAGUCGGGAGGAAGGUGUCAAGGUUAAUAACCUUGGCAAUUGACGUUACCGACAGAAGAAGCACCGGCUAACUCCGUGCCAGCAGCCGCGGUAAUACGGAGGGUGCAAGCGUUAAUCGGAAUUACUGGGCGUAAAGCGCACGCAGGCGGUUGAUUGAGUCAGAUGUGAAAUCCCCGGGCUUAACCCGGGAAUUGCAUCUGAUACUGGUCAGCUAGAGUCUUGUAGAGGGGGGUAGAAUUCCAUGUGUAGCGGUGAAAUGCGUAGAGAUGUGGAGGAAUACCGGUGGCGAAGGCGGCCCCCUGGUCAAAGACUGACGCUCAGGUGCGAAAGCGUGGGGAGCAAACAGG